rnacentral:rRNA from 1 species
AGCGAACGCUGGCGGCAGGCCUAACACAUGCAAGUCGAACGAAGUCUUCGGACUUAGUGGCGGACGGGUGAGUAACACGUGGGAACGUACCUUUUGGCUCGGAAUAACGCAGGGAAACUUGCGCUAAUACCGAAUGUGCCCUUAGGGGGAAAGAUUUAUCGCCAUUAGAGCGGCCCGCGUUGGAUUAGGUAGUUGGUGUGGUAAAGGCGCACCAAGCCUACGAUCCAUAGCUGGUCUGAGAGGAUGAUCAGCCACACUGGGACUGAGACACGGCCCAGACUCCUACGGGAGGCAGCAGUGGGGAAUCUUGCGCAAUGGUCGAAAGACUGACGCAGCCAUGCCGCGUGAAUGAUGAAGGUCUUAGGAUUGUAAAAUUCUUUUAGCAGGGACGAUAAUGACGGUACCUGCAGAAAAAGCCCCGGCUAACUUCGUGCCAGCCGCCGCAGUAACAC